rnacentral:tRNA from 1 species
GGAGGGGUGGCCGAGUGGUUAAUGGCAGCAGACUGUAAAUCUGCCCGCGCAAGCGUACACAGGUUCGAAUCCUGUCCCCUCCACCA